CCUACGGGAGACAGCAGUGGGGGAUAUUGCACAAUGGGGGGAACCCUGAUGCAGCGACGCCGCGUGGGUGAAGGAGGGUUUCGGCGCGUAAAGCCCUAUCGGCAGGGAAGAAGGAGGACGGUACCGGACGAAGAAGCCCCGGCGAACUACGUGCCAGCAGCCGCGGUAAGACGGCGGGGGCAAGCGUUAUCCGGAUGUACUGGGUGUAAAGGGGGCGCAGACGGGAGCGCAAGCCCGGAGUGCAAGCACGGGGCCCAACCCCGGGACUGCUCUUGAAACUGCGCGGCUGGAGUGCAGGAGGGGCAGGCGGAAUUCCUGGUGUAGCGGUGAAAUGCGUAGAUAUCAGG
rnacentral:rRNA from 1 species